GACGAACGCUGGCGGCGUGCUUAACACAUGCAAGUCGAACGGAAAGGCCCCUUUGGGGGUACUCGAGUGGCGAACGGGUGAGUAACACGUGAGUAACCUGCCCUUGACUUCGGGAUAACUUCAGGAAACUGGGGCUAAUACCGGAUAGGAAUCCUUGCUGCAUGGUGGGGGUUGGAAAGCUUCGGCGGUUUUGGAUGGACUCGCGGCUUAUCAGCUUGUUGGUGGGGUAGUGGCUUACCAAGGCUUUGACGGGUAGCCGGCCUGAGAGGGCGACCGGCCACAUUGGGACUGAGAUACGGCCCAGACUCCUACGGGAGGCAGCAGUGGGGAAGAUUGCACAAGGGGCGGAAGCCUGAUGCAGCAACGCCGCGUGCGGGAUGACGGCCUUCGGGUUGGAAACCGCUUUCAGCAGGGGCGAAGCUUGUGGUGACGGUACCUGCAGAAGAAGCACCGGCUAACUACGUG
rnacentral:rRNA from 1 species